CACAGAAAGGUCUGAAUCUCUGAACAAAUGGGAGUCUGUUUCAGCAGGAGGCUCUUCAGCAGGACGUUCUGAGGCUCAGCCAUAGAGUUAGAAAGAGGACUCAUCUUACUAUCUGUGGUAGAAGCCCUCAAUGGCAAUGUCCAUGCAGAAAACGGGCUAUAUACAGUACAUCUAUCUAGUCUAACUCUAUGGGCCCAGCUCUAAAUGUGUUGCUUAUUGGUUUCCUUGCCCAGGGAAGUGCUGCUGCUGGUUGGGUUGCUGUUACUGCUUCAGUGUGACAGGAAAAGUGGUGCUGCUGUUUAAACAGGUUGCUGUUACUGCUACAGUGUGACAGGAAAAGUGCUGCUGCUGUUUAAACAGGUUGCUGUUACUGCUACAGUGUGACAGGAAAAGUGCUGCUGCUGUUUAAACAGGUUGCUGUUACUGCUACAGUGUGACAGGAAAAGUGCUGCUGCUGUUUAAACAGGUUGCUGUUACUGCUACAGUGUGACAGGAAAAGUGCUGCUGCUGUUUAAACAGGUUGCUGUUACUGCUACAGUGUGACAGGAAAAGUGCUGCUGCUGUUUAAACAGGUUGCUGUUACUGCUACAGUGUGACAGGAAAAGUGCUGCUGCUGUUUAAACAGGUUGCUGUUACUGCUACAGUGUGACAGGAAAAGUGCUGCUGCUGUUUAAACAGGUUGCUGUUACUGCUUCAGUGUGACAGGAAAAGUGCUGCUGCUGUUUAAACAGGUAUGUAGGUUUGGAAGACGUUCCGGCUGCUGGAUGAAUAACAUACUGUAAAGAGCCCAUCUCUUCAGCAGUUGUCAGAUCUAUAUUAUGGAAGUGGAGACGGUCAAGAUAAGAGUGCCGUGUUUGUAACGUGUGUGUAGUGAGUAUCAG